UCUAAGAGGAAAAAAUUGUUCUUUAGGAACUGUGUCAUCAUGAAUGCUGUGAUACCAGAAUGCAUUGUUGUGCAGGGGAUUUGAGGGUGUAUGGAGCCAAAUUUCUGCCCAUAUGGGGCAAAGCUGUGCAAAAGUCAUAGGAAAACUCAGCAUAUAAAAUCUUGUCUCCUGUACUUUUCCAGUGUAGAGGACAAUCUGGCCUUAUGACUGCAAACCAUAGGAAGCACUUAAAAAACGAGAGGUAGUUGGUCACUUUCUUCAUGUGUCCUCAAAGUGGCUUCAGUGUGUUCCAGGCUGUGCUUCCAUUUUGAAGAGCUAAGUAGAAUCAAAAUAUUUCAGAUCUGGAAUUAUUAUUAUUUAUUAUUCUGAGAGUUGUAUUGGAUAAAGUGAGGCCGGCUAGUAUGGGUGUGGCUGAUCAGAAUGCUAGAUCCUCAUUCCUUCUGACCAGCAGGCUAAACCCCAGAUCUUGUGGCCAGCUAACCCAAAAUCUAGGUGGUUAAAAUUAAGAAAUACCUGGUUCCGAUGCCUCAGAUUGGAAAUAGAAGAGAGGAAAUAGACUGUCCCCUUGCAUUAAAGUCUCUUCUCGCUUUGCCUGCCAGUGAAACAAAUAACAAAAAAAUGUUCUUCCCUUCAGUACCUGAAUCUGAUUUAUUUAUUUUACUAUUUAGCAUGGACAGGAAUUAGCUGACCACUAGAGACUGCAUUGUAUUUGGGCACAGUUAAAAUAGCUGUCAUACUUGACCCCAGAGGACGGCCAGCAAAGGACAUUUUCCAGAAUCCAUCAUCAUCAUUGCCCAAAUGAAUCAAGGACUGCAAGGGACACAGCAGGGGAUGACAUGGCCCUGAAGGAAGAUGCAGGAUGGGCUCAGUGCCAGAGCACAAUGGCACCUCCAAGAAAGAAAAGAAGAAAGAAGCCUUUAAGAAGCGGCGAGAAAAUAGAAGGAAAGAAAGCAAGUCACUGUAGGUGGAGGAGAAGGAAAGGGACUUUGGAUAGAGUGAGCUCCCUGUAGUUAAGGCUCGGCUCAUGUGGGGCUAUUGAGCCUUUUAAUACCUUGAGCGGUGUGACCACCCUGUAACUAGGGUUCAAUUCUGUGCUCUCAUGGCCUUUUGGAAUUAUGCUCCUUUAACUGGCUAGGGUGAAUGGUUACCCUGUAAUUAGAGUGCAAGUCAUGCUCCUGUCACUUAUGUGGGGGAUAUUGAGCUCUUUGGAACCCUGAGCAGUAAUUCAGGGUAAGGUCUCUGCCCUCAUGCCCUUUUGGCAUUAUGACUUGUUGGCAGUCUAGUCA